rnacentral:misc_RNA from 1 species
CGCAUAUUGCGCCCUUUGGUAUUCCGAAGGGCAUGCCUGUUCGAGCGUCAUUGUCAACUCUCAAGCCUGGCUUGUCAUUGGGUCCUUAUCGGUAAAAGAUAGGCCCGAAAAAUAACGGCGGUGUCACGAUUGACCCCUGGUGAAGCGAGCUUUAAGCAUACACCACGGUCGUUCGCGAAUGCCCGGCCUAAUGUUUAACCAAACAUGCUUUUCAAGGUUGACCUCGGAUCAGGUAGGAAUACCCGCUGAACUUAA